rnacentral:rRNA from 1 species
UGCCAGCAGCCGCGGUAAUACGAACCGACCGAACGUUAUUCGGAAUUACUGGGCUUAAAGAGUGCGUAGGUGGUUGAAAAAGUUGGUGGUGAAAUCCCAGAGCUUAACUCUGGAACUGCCAUCAAAACUUUUCAGCUUGAGUUUGAUAGAGGAAAGCAGAAUUUCUAGUGUAGAGGUGAAAUUCGUAGAUAUUAGAAAGAAUACCAAUUGCGAAGGCAGCUUUCUGGAUCAUUACUGACACUGAGGAACGAAAGCAUGGGUAGCGAAGAGGAUUAGAUA